GUGCGAUUCGCAGCGCCUAGUGAGUCAUUAAAAUUUUGAAUGCAAAUGGCAUGUUGGAUUAACGUCCAACAUAUGUCUGGUUGAGUGUUA
rnacentral:rRNA from 1 species